AGAUUAUUUUCUUUUUUCUUUUUUGAGACAGAGUCUCGCCCGGUUGCUCAGGCUGAAGUGUAGUGGUGUGAUCUUGGCUUACUGCAGCUUCCACCUCCCAGGUGCAAGUGAUUCUCCUGCCUCAGCUUCCCAAGUAGCUGGGACUAUGGGUACUCGCCACCACACCUGGCUAAUUUUUGUAUUUUUAGUAGAGAUGGGGUUUCACCAUGUUGGUCAGGCUGGUCUUGAACUCCUGACCCCAAGUGAUCUGCCUGCCUUGGCCUCCCAGAUUGCUGGGAUUACAGGUGUGAGCCACCGUGCCCGGCCCUAUAUAACUCUUUGUGCAAGUUUUUACCCCUAAAAGAUAUCUGCCAUCUCAGCCAUGGAACAGACACUGUAAGAACAUGAAGGCUCAAGGGCAGGGCUGGCUACAUAAUUUGUGGGACCCAUUACAAAAUGAACAUGGAGAAAAAACUAGAAAAAAGUGUAGUACAAGGUUCUCCCUCUGUCACCCAGAGCUGGAGUGCGGUGGCAUAAUCACAGCUAAUUGCAGCCUCAACAUUCCAGGCCCAAGGAUCCUCCCUUCAGCCUUCCAGAGUCGGGGGUCUCCCUAUGUUUCCCAGGCUGGCCUCGAACUCCUGACCUCAAGUGAUCCUCCCACCUCAGCCUCCCCGAGUGCUGGGAUUAAAGACGUGAGCCACGGCACCUGGCCUGAAUUUUCCUCAAAUUCAAAAAAUCCUGAUGAAGGUUUGGCUAAAAUCUUUGGUGAGUUACCCCACUCCCUGUGGAACCUCAGGCUGGAUUUGAAGAGUUGCGUGCAUGGUCCUCAUUGUCUCCCAGGUAACCUGUUCCCGCUGCUGUGAAGGGAAGGCAGGUGCUCUUCCUUGAGGCUAGAAUCUGUCUACGUGUCACAGUCUCAGGAAAUUAAGCAAAACAGAUGAUAAACACCUCAAAAGGACCCUACUGAG
rnacentral:sRNA from 1 species